GCGUUGUCCGGAAUUAUUGGGCGUAAAGAGCUCGUAGGCGGUCCAUCGCGUCGGGAGUGAAAAGCUGGGGCUUAACCCCAGUCCUGCUUCCGAUACGGGUGGACUAGAGGUAGGUAGGGGAGAUCGGAAUUCCUAGUGUAGCGGUGAAAUGCGCAGAUAUUAGGAGGAACGCCGGUGGCGAGGGCGGAUCUCUGGGCCUUACCUGACGAUGAGGAGCGAAAGCAUG
rnacentral:rRNA from 1 species